UGUUUCUUUGUUUUUUUGUAGCGAGGGAAAUAUGAGGUUCCUAAGUGGCUCUCUUCUAGCAGCGUUCUGCUUCUUCAACAGAUGCUACAGGUGGACCCAAAGAAACGGAUUUCUGUGAAAAAUCUAUUGAGCCAUCCCUGGAUCAUGCAUGAUUACAACUGUCCUGUUGAGUGGCAAAGCAAGAAUUCUCUUAUUCACCUUGAUGAAGAUUGUGUAACAGAACUAGCUGUACAUCACAGAAAUAACAGGCAAACAAUGGAGGAUUUAAUUUCAUUGUGGCAGUAUGAUCACCUCACAGUUACCUAUCUUCUGCUGCUAGCCAAGAAGGCUCGGGGAAAACCAGUUCGUUUAAGGCUUCCUUCUUUUUCCUGUGGACAAGCCAGUGAUACCCCGUUCACAAACACCAAGUCAAAGAAUCUGAGUCUAGAAGAUAUGACAACAAGUGAUGAAAAUGAUGUGGCUGGAUUGAUAGACUAUGACUGGUGUGGAGACAGUUCAUCAAUAGGUGUGACCACCCCACAAACACCACAGUUUGCCAAGCAUUGGACAGAAUCAAAUGGUCUGGAAUCUAAAUCAUUAACUCCAGUAUUAUGCAGAGCAUCUGCCAAUAAAUUAAAGAACAAAGAGAAUGUAUAUACACCUAAGUCUGCUGUAAAGAAUGAUGAGUGCUUUGUAUUUCCUGAGCCAAAGACUCCAGUUAAUAAGAACCAGCAUAAGAGAGAAAUACUCUCCACACCAAAUCAUUACACUACACCCUCAAAAGCCAGAAACCAGUGCCUGAAAGAAACUCCAGUUAAAAUGCCAAUAAAUUCAGCAGGAACAGAGAAGUUAAUGACAGGUGUCAUUAGCCCUGAGAGGCGAUGUCGCUCAGUGGAACUAGAUCUCAACCAAGCACACGUAGAGGAUACUCCAAAAAGAAAAGGAACCAAAGUGUUUGGGAGCCUUGAAAGGGGGUUGGAUAAGGUUAUCACUGUGCUUACCAGGAGCAGAAGGAAGGGCUCUGCCAAAGAUGGGCCAAGAAGACUAAAGCUUCACUAUAAUGUGACUACAACCAAACUAGUGAAUCCAGAUCAACUCUUGAAUGAAAUAAUGUCUGUUCUUCCAAAGAAGCAUGUUGACUUUGUACAAAAGGGGAACCUUAACUACAGAAUACUUCUUUUGGCAUGUCUGAUGAUGACUGCUCAUUUUUAAGAGAUGAAGACCCCAAACACAUAACUAAGUAAGAGAAAGAAUGAUAUUUUGUAAAACCUCAAAUACAUAACAGAUACAAGUAAUUUCUCCACGCUUCUGUGGAACAGUAUCUAAUCACGUGCCCCACAUAUUUAGGGAACUGAUAUUUAAAAUUGAUCCUGUUGUCUAUUAUUUAGUAAGACAAAUAAAAUGAAAAUAUUUUGCAAACUAAUUAAAAAGUUGAUUUACAUGAAUUCAAUUUAUGUAACUUUGCAGGAACAUACCUGAUUCUUAAGUCUUAAGAUGUCUUUAAGGCUUCAUUUGGCCUGGGCUUUUCCAUUUUCAGAAUUGUUAUAUGGCAGUUCUAAUUUUAUUUAUACACACACACACACACACACACACACACCAUGUGUUUCAACCAUGGAAAUGGACCAUCUCCAUGGGCUUUCUGUUAUAACUCUGCCAUAAAGUGUAAUGAUCAUAACCUCUUAUUACUAUUAGAAAAACCUCAGAAACACACACCCUUCUGACAGGUUGGUGGCUUCAGCUUUAUUUAUAUGAAAGAAUUUUCUGAUGAGGUGCACACAAAAAAAUAUUCUUAAUCUUCCCCAUGCUUUCCUUUGUUGUGAACAUUGUGGAAAUGGCCUACUGUUCAUGGAUUACACUGUUGAAAGAGUUGCAUAAGGAAGACCAGAAGAUUUCUUGAGCAUAAAUGGCAUUGGUAGCUAUGAAAGGAAGGCUUUUCUUUGGACAAGAGAAAGUUCUGGUAUACACUGAAGUGUCAAACACAGUCAGACUUUGGUAAAGUGACAAUGCAGUUUGAACUAGAAGUGUGCCAGCUUCAGAAACCCGAC